AUUGAACGCUGGCGGCAGGCCUAACACAUGCAAGUCGAGCGGAGCGGCGGACGGGGGAGUAAUGUAUGGGGAUCUGCCUGGUCGUGGGGGAUAACGUCCGCAAACGGGCGCUAAUACCGCAUACUAGCAGAUGAGCCUAGGUCGGCUUAGCUCGUUGGUGGGGUAAAGGCCUCCCAAGGCGACAAUCCGGAACUGGUCGGAGCGGAGGAUCAGUCACACUGUAACUGAGACACGGUCCAGACUCCUAAGUGAGGCAGCAGUGGGGAAUAUUGGACAAUGGGCGAAAGCCUGCUCCAGCCAUGCCGCGUGUGUGAAGAAGGUCUUCGGAUUGUAAAGCACUUUAAGUUGGGAGGCGUUACCAACAGAAUAAGCACCGGCUAACUCCGUGCCAGCAGCCGCGGUAAUAC
rnacentral:rRNA from 1 species